UACGUAGGGUGCGAGCGUUGUCCGGAAUUAUUGGGCGUAAAGAGCUUGUAGGCGGUCUGUCGCGUCUGCUGUGAAAAUCCGGGGCUCAACCCCGGACUUGCAGUGGGUACGGGCAGACUAGAGUGUGGUAGGGGAGACUGGAAUUCCUGGUGUAGCGGUGAAAUGCGCAGAUAUCAGGAGGAACACCAAUUGCGAAGGCAGCUCGCUGGAACGUUACUGACGCUGAGACGCGAAAGCGUGGGGAGCAAACAGG
rnacentral:rRNA from 1 species